AUGUCUCACAGUGGGAAACAUGGCCUUGUCCCAACUUUUUUGAGAUGUGGUGUUGUCAUGAAAUUUAAAACCACCUAUUGAGUCCACAUCCAGCACUAGUGUGUUUCUGUGGUGUCAGUGUGAUGCUUCCUGCUCACCUGUCUCUGGGAUGUGGUCGUUUUUGAACACUUUCAGCAGAGCCAGUGGUUCUCUUUGGCUCUUUCCUCCUCCAAGUUCAUGCUCAUCUUCAGAGACAUCCUCCUCUCCGAAGAAAGAGUCCUCGAUCUGCUGGGUCGCGUCCAUACAGUCCUGCUGAGGAGACACAGCCAUUCAUCACACACUCUGGACACUUCUGCAGCAACUCCAGCAGGCCUGAGCAGGCCAGGCAAGGACACCAACAUCUCCAGGACACAGAUCGCCAUAUCCAUGGCAACAUCCCAGUGCUAGAGCAGCUCAGAGUUGUUUAUAUGAUCCCAGACCACGCCCCUUUCCCCUCAUCUUCUUUUCUGUAGACACAGGGACCGAAGCAGGCUGGGGUCAAUGUCGGCUCCUGGGAGAGCAUUGCUGAUGACCAGGACGCCUGGAGAGAUCAUCCGAAACAAGGAACUGGCUUUCAAGAGGGUCAGAUGGAAGCAGAGGACAGCUUCUGUUCAAGCUCCCUCAUCCUUCAUGUGUCACAAUAAUGCAAGAGACUGUCACUCCUGAGUGGGCAUCUUCAGCCACCAGGAGCGGCCUGAGUUAACCCGGUGUGGUUCAUCGGCCACCAGGACACGGCCUGAGUUAGCCCAACGUGGUUCACCGGCCACCAGGAGCGGCCUGAGUUAACCCGGUGUGGUCCAUCUCCCAAGUUGGAAGGAUGCCAUGUUCUGUACAUGCUGCUAGUUUUAUUUCUUUGUUGUUUUACCCCAUCCCCUUAAUAUGUUUUAAACAUAUGCUCUAGACCUAUAGUCAUGAUACAUGUAUACAACUGUAAUGCACUAAAAAGUAGUGACAUUAUACUAUGUGCAAUACCGCUGACCCAAUACCAUGAUCAAUAAACACAGAAUACAGUAAACAGGUCGGUCUAUGACUCGUACUGUGUAGCAUAGCCAAGGGGUCUGUGAUUGUUUUUAACAGUGGUGGACAUUACAACCCAGCAUUCUCUCAGGUAUUAUAUUUAUUAUUGAGUUAUUAUAGUCAAUUUGUAAAAGAAAUAGGACAGUGCCAUAUUUGUUCUGCCUACGAGCUAAGGACAGCUUCCAAUGGCAAGUCUAAAAAUUGCAUGUUCAUUGGGUUAUUUUGGCCUAACUCAAGCUGUGUUGCUUUGUAUCCAGACCUUUGAAAGUCUUUCUUUUCCCCCCAGACCUAUUAACGUCUAAACAGCACAUUGUAAAUCUUCCUGCCAGCUGUUUAAGAGUGUCCUACUUUAUAAAUGAACCUGUGUUUGACCAGAGACUGAGCAAAACCUCAGAAGUAAAUCGGCCUGAAGACAAAAGCUGCUUGAUCUCUGAUAUAUUUGCGCCGUUCGUUAUGUUUGUCUUACCGUAUGUGUUUAUU